CUCAUACCUUAGCCUAGAGGAAACUCAUCUUUAUCAACCGCCACCACAUACAAUCCAUCACAGUUUACCAAGAUGCCAUUGAACAUUGACCACUUCCAAAUCCACCACCCAUACGUCAACCCUCAAGAAUUACCCUUCCCAACGACUAUCUUACCUGGUGGAGGUAGGGCUGUGAUAUACCCUGCUGUGAAGACGAGGUGGGCGGGGCCGAAUGUUGGAUUUGGUGCUGGGUUGAUGGGUAUGCCCCACCCGCUUGGAAAGCCCUUGGCAUGGGGAGUAGGUACGGGUAUCGAUAAUACCGCAGCCGCUUGGAGGAGAUAUUAUGGCCUUGGAGGACUCUUGACGGGUUAUCCGUUGCAUUAUAGGUUACCUGGUAAACCUGGAUUGGGAGGGUACUUUGGAGGAUGGGAGAUACGAGAUUGAUUAAUCGGUGGACUGGAAUUGGGAGGAAUUAUCAGUUACUAAAGCUGAGUGUACGAUAUUGUGUACUAUGUUAUACAGUGACUGCAUGUAGAACACGCAAAUCACCAUUCAUC
rnacentral:sRNA from 1 species